AAAGAGAUGGUCCAGUGGUCAAGAUUUCCGCCUGUCAGUUGGGGAGGGUAGAAAGCCAUCAAGCCUGAAGCCUAAAGCAACAAAACCAAAAAAAAAGCGCGCGGACGACCGGGGUUCGAUUCCCCGUCUGAGAG